UGCCAGCAGCCGCGGUAAUACGGAGGGUGCGAGCGUUAAUCGGAAUUACUGGGCGUAAAGAGCACGUAGGUGGAUAGUUAAGUCAGUUGUGAAAGCCCUGGGCUCAACCUGGGAAUGGCAUCUGAUACUGGUUAUCUAGAGUAUGGUAGAGGGAAGUGGAAUUUCCGGUGUAGCGGUGGAAUGCGUAGAUAUCGGAAGGAACACCAGUGGCGAAGGCGGCCAACUGGACGAGUACUGACACUGAGGUACGAAAGCGUGGGUAGCAAACAGGAUUAGAUA
rnacentral:rRNA from 1 species